rnacentral:rRNA from 1 species
GUCUUUUUGUAUUAAAUAUAAAGUCUAACCUGCCCACUGAAUUUUAAAUGGCCGCAGUACACUAACUGUGCAAAGGUAGCAUAAUAAUUAGUCUUUUAAUUGAAGGCUGGAAUGAAUGGUUGGACGAAAUAUUAACUGUUUCAUUAGAAUUUUUAUUAAAACUUUAUUUUUUAGUCAAAAAGCUAAAAUAUAAUUAAAAGACGAGAAGACCCUAUAAAGCUUUAUAUAUUUUUAUAAACUAUUUCAUAAGAUUCUUUAAGGUAUUUUAUAAAAAUAUAUUUUAUUGGGGUGAUAUUAAAAUAUGAUAAACUUUUAAUUUUUAAACCAUUAAUUUAUGAUUUUAUGAUCCGUCAAUGACGAUUAGAAAUUCAAGUUACUUUAGGGAUAACAGCGUAAUUUUUUUGGAGAGUUCAUAUCGAUAAAAAAGAUUGCGACCUCGAUGUUGGAUUAAGGAAUAAUCUUAGGCGCAGCAGUUUAAGUAAUAAGUCUGUUCGACUUUUAAACCCUU